AUGACUACCUUGGAUACGACCAAAAAUAUUGCAUACAUGCAUAUUUGUCAGGUGAUUUCUAAUGCAAACUAUUCAAUAAUCUAUUUAUGUUAUCCAGAACAAAAAUACUUCACACACUUUUGUGUUUUGUCUAAUUACAGGUGUAUGGGACAUUUGUACAAUCCACAUAUGAAGAUAAGGGGAAAGGAGAAGUUUAGGUUCUGUUCAAAAAGUCCUCUCACGUCACUUUUGGGCCAAGAGAAGAUAGAGUCCAAGUCUUUCACGUUCUGGAUUCAGAUUCGGACUGCACAGACAUACCUGACUCAAAACGCCAACAACUUUUUCAUACGGACUCCGAAUUGGGUGAUUCUUUUUUUGUUGGAAACUAGAUUUCGUGCUCUUUCCAACCCAAUUGGAUUCACCUUCAAAUUCGUCCGGAGCGUUGAGUUAUGGACGAAACAAUCUGACGUUGCAGCAGAAUCCGAGUCAAACUACAAGCCCAAAGGUGUUGCAUCACCUCCACUUGGGCCCAUGAGUCUUGUACGACCUAAGGUUAGUUUUAGGCUGCCUUGGGACGUCCUCCCACCUCCUUGGCCGCCACCCCUUGCUCCUAUAUAA
rnacentral:rRNA from 1 species